UCAUAUUCUUUACACUGUACAAUCUGACAUUAUUAGUUACAGUUAGUUAGUGACCUGAUACGGAAUGUAUUUUUCCGUAUCAGGUCACUAACUAACUGUGUUACGAAUUUAUCACGUCGAUGACCUCUAACUGUAUACGUGGGGGUAUAUAUAAUACGACUUUGUCUGCCCAAAUUGCUUCUGAAUCACCAUUUUGUUACGGCUGCAAGUCGAACCUGACCAUAAAUUACUCGCUCAAUAUGGAUUGAUUUUUCUCGCAUGAUACUGGUUUUUUCUCACGGCAUCAUGUGACCAAGAUCUGACCAAUUAGAUUUCAACAAUUUUGUCUGAGGUGUGAUAAAUCUAACACAAAAUUAGUUUCCCAGAGCAUGUCAGAUUAAACAGGUAUCACAUCUAGUUCUAUUGAAUUCUUUAGCAUGUAUAGACUCUACAAAGAAUGUUUGUGAAAUACAUUGCCACUGUGCCUGAACUUCAUCAAUGACUUUGACCUUUAAAAAUUUGACCUUAUAACCUUUCAGUUCACCCAGCAUGAAGUCUCUAUCUUUAUAUAUCACAAGUUAUAACCAUGUAGGACUAAAGUUACACACAAAGGAGACAAAAGAUAAAAAGAGACCAUCUGAGAGACACACCAAUAUGAGAUGCAUUAUAUAUUAUCUUGGAGGCAAAAAGAGUAUUAAAUCAUAUUCUCCACAUAGCCUUACAAUGACAAGAAGGCUCUUGGCUUUUUUCUCUCUUUUAUAUUUUGCUGCAACAUGUUGCACAGUAUGACCUUAAAAUGACCUUCACAGUGGACUAUACAGGCAUCCAAUGUCUGUGAUCUGGCUUGCUCAGAGCCUGAGCGUCAAUGACUUUCAACUGCACUAUACAGAUUUCAUUCCACUAUACUACUUGUUCAUUUACUUACAGUCAUAUUUAACAAUUUAAAUCUCUCAAAACUUAAUUUUACAUGCAGUUCUAAUUUUAGUUGAAACUUGAUUUCACAAACAUGUCAUCCUACUUGACUGUAACAGAAAUUAUGAGGCUAUGGGAAAGGAAUCAUCUGUGAACACUCACAGAGGUGUUUAUGAAGCCUUUAUGUACUGAAGAUGAAAUAAAUCUAGACAAAGAAGACAUCUUCAUAUCAUUCCACACUGUCAAAUGUGAAGCAAAGUUUUAACAAUUCCUGAGUUAUCAUCUUAGAAUAUGGGAGGUAACUCAUGCACUUUGCUGAAGUGCAUAUCUUAAAAUGGAUUGAAGUGGUAUGCUGGCUCUUUUAGAACAAAGACACCAAAACAAGGAAGGAAGCAGGGUUCUGAAGUGGCUUGUUGAUGCCCAGAAGUAGGGCCCGAGUCAAGAGGCAUUUAGAGCCUUGCUGCUUCCUCAAUAGUUUUGUAUGCUCUGACAACUUUUAAACAAGUCUUCCUCUUCUUUGUCUUGAAAAAAAAUCAACAUUUUCUAAUAAUUGUUCUUGUUUAUAUUGUAAUUGGGCAAAUUCCUACUUACUGAAAAAGACAAGAAUGAUCUGCAACCAGUCGUAAAAUAAUUAACAAAGACAGGAAACACAUCAGAUCUGUACAAGAUAGCGCAUAAAUCUAAUGAAAUACCAGUAAAGGUAUAUUUUUAUUAUCUCUGCAAUUAACAGAGCAAAGGAAAUUUGCUCUAAUCUGACAAAUGUUUACACAUAAAGUAAUUCAAAUCUUCAACAGUCCAAUGGACAAGAUUUAAAGAAAAUCUUCUUUGAAUAUUUCAUGGCUUCCCUAGAUGACAACCUCAGAAACAGAACACAAGACCUUGUAUUGCAGGCUGUCAGGGUGAUUCACACACAGCGUUACACAGUCACAAAACGCAUGCUUUUACCAGCAAGUUAUUAUGGUAUAUUAACAUAAUCUUAAUUUUGUCUUAUAUCUCCUGAUGUAAUGCGUUAACUUUGACAGCUUCGGGUUAAAGUACACAACCCAGUGACCCUCUUCUUGACAAAGAUUUGGGCGCCCACAUCUAAUUUGCAUAUGUUGACAACUCCUUCAUUAAACCACAAUGCCAUCUAAUUGUUUCUCGGUGGAGUCUGAAAGACUGCAAAGAAAUUUUCUUACCCAUUUAACAUAUCAAUACACUGCUGGUUUUCCUCUUUUUGUGAGAUUUGGUAUUUUUAAUGCAUUUCAAGGUAUUGUCAAAUCUUGCAAUCUGACAUCAACAUUUAUAAUAAUUAAUGGAUGCAUAAUAAUGAAGGUCAGGGAAUAUCUGUUCAGUAAAUUAAUCUAAAUAUUCUGUGACAAUUUCAUAAUAAGCCAAUUAAUGUACAACAACCAUAAGACACUGUGGGUAACAGGAUAGGAUUGGUUAUCUAGGUGGUGCACUGUAAGACACCAUGUUACGUACACUACAAGGCUGGUUACUUAGGUGGUAUUACUUGAUAGGGCUGGUUAAGGUUAAAUAAAAACUGUCAGGCACUGUGUUUCUCUGCAAGGCUAGUUACUUUGGUAAAGAACUGUCAGACACUGUGUUACACUAUAAAGCUGGUUAUUUAGGUGGAAAAACUGUCUGACAUUGUGUUACAGUAUAAAUCUAGUUAUUUAGGUGAAGAACUGUCUGACACUGUGUUACACUAAAAAGCUGGCUAUUUGGGUAGGGAACUGUCUGACAGUGUUACACUAUAAAGCUGGUUAUUUAGGUGAACUGUCAGACACUGUCUUACACUAUAAAGCUGGUUAUUUAGGUGGAGAACUGUCUGACAUUGUGUUACACUAUAAAGUUGGUUAUUUAGGUGGAGAACUGUCUGACACUGUUACACUAUAAAGCUGGUUAUUUAGGUGGAGAACUGUCUGACACUGUUACACUAUAAAGCUGGUUAUUUAGGUGGAGAACUGUCCGACUUUGUGUUACACUAUAAAGCUGGUUAUUUAGGUGGAGAACUGUCUGACACUGUGUUACACUAUAAAGCUGGUUAUUUAGGUGGAGAACUGUCUGACACUGUGUUACACUAUAAAGCUGGUUAUUUAGGUGGAGAACUGUCUGACACUGUGUUACACUAUAAAGCUGGUUAUUUAGGUGGAGAACUUUCUGACAUUGUGUUACACUAUAAAGCUGGUUAUUUAGGUAGGGAGCUGUCAGACACUGUUACACUAUAAAUCUAGUUAUUUAGGUGGGGAACUGUCAGACAUUGUGUUACAGGGUUCGAAAUUACCUCAUGUCCGUAAGUCUGAGACUAUUAAAAAGCGUGUUGGACUAGUAAAUUCUCUAUAGCUAGUGAAAAUCCGGAAAUCAAUCUUGAAUUGAUUAAGAUUUUAGCAAGAUUUGUCCGAGUCUCUUAUGGUCGAUUACCUGCAUGGUUAAGUGUUUGCGUGACUAUGACAUCCUGAUCUUCCAAACACAUGGAGUGUGUUCGAGACCGCCGUUCUUCGAACAAGCACAAAUUCUUGCUGAUUCCGAACUCCUAGUACGCAUCAGAAGAAUGGGUUCAAGGUGCAAGAACUCCAAGAACAAGCACGUUUGUGCGCACAUGUUCUUGUCAUUCGCGACUCCAACACAGGAGUUCGUAACACUGUAGCUCAUGGUUUGGUCAAUUGAGUGAGUUUUAUUGACUUUAUUGAUAAAAUUUCGAACUCCUGUGACUCCAAGAACUGAGGACGAAAACAACGGGAACGUCGAUCUCGAACGUACUUAUGGACGUUUAUAAAAGGAUUAACUCGGAGGUUACUGUAUGCUUCUGAAGAUCUUGAAUGCAAAAUAAAGUAUGGUGGUGUUUUUCUGUAGGUGUCAGAAACUGAAUUGCUUGCAACUGUGAUGUGUUUGGUUUCAUUAAAUACUAUUGAAUAAAAUGAAGAUUAUUUAAUCAAGAUUAAUUGAUUUUAUAUCAAAUAGUCAACUAUUAAUUUAGUACAGGUUUCCACCCGGGCUGUCACCCUGGGCGCCCUUAACAAUUAUACUACAAUGGUAUUACCUUACGACUACGUUAUGGUACGACUAUGCUACGGCACGAGUUAAUGAACAACAAACAGUCCCCGGAUGUCGUUCUCUUUUUCAAAAUCCACCGAACAAGAAGGAUGUGUUUUUUUUUCCCCAAUCCACCCACCCAUUAUAUUAUUAGGGCAUAAUUCUAAUAUCUGCUUUGCUGCUUUCUCUUCUUUCUUUCUUUUUUCAUUGCAGAAUACCAAGCGACACGUGCCCAUCCUAGCCGAGAAGAAUGGAACGCGUACUGAAUGUCAUAGCUACCUGUCAGUGCCUCAAACGCAUUCUUGCCAAAUCCAAUUUUGUAGGGGAUAUACAGUAUUAAUUUUUUUUGCUUCUAUGGGAUAAAUUAAUGUCACAGCUACCCCAAAAACAAAGUAUACUUUUUGUCGCAAUUCCGGGUUUGGGGGGGGCGGGGACUGGGGGAUACCAUAGUGUAGGCUGGGAUCAAGUGGCCCCAUAACCUGGUGGUCUCCCCACCCUGCAUACAAAGCAGGGGGGCGUGGCUCAAAGUAACAAUGUGUAGUUGUGCAAAUAUGGUAACAAUCGUGGGUCAUGGCCUGCCAGGGCUGGUCCCACCUCCACCUCAUUCAAGCGGGGGGAGGCCACAGUCUGGUAAAUGUAAAACCAGGUGGCGCUAGAGACAGGGAGAAGGGCGGUCCCACCUACACUGGUCCAGAACGCGGUAAUCGUUCGGAUCAGGCACUUGUGCUUACACUCGGCCUCCUUUGUGCCCAUACUGUCUUGGUACAAUUGCAUGUAUCCCCGUGUCCCCCACAAAAAUUGCGGCCUUUUCAUCCACUUACAAACCUUGUUCCAUUCUAUAUGUUGUAUCGUGUAAUUUGUUCUGUUGUACCUUUUGAAGCAUCAAUAAAGUCAUGUUCAUAUUCACGGGUGUUAUCAUUUCAAGGCAAUGCUGAUGCAUUAAACACGCUGGGAUCGGACUACAUUUGGCUCGAAUGUUGAGCAAGCGGGCAUGUGUUGCGGAAUGCCUAGCUCACUGGAUCUAAUAAUUAAUGAUAUAUUGGACAGACUAGUGAAAUGCUUUGCUGACUAGUGAACAUUAAUAGUGACUAGUCCGUACAGACUAGUGCUUGAAAAAGUUAAUUUCGAACCCUGUUUUACGCUAUCAAGAUGGUUAUUUAGGUGGGGAACUGUCAGACAAUGCUUCACUAUAAAGCUGGAUAUUUAGGUGGAGAACUGUCUAAUGCUGUGUUACACUAUAAAGCUGGUUAUUUAGGUGGGGAACAUUCAUACACUGCUUCACUAUAAAUCUAGUUUAUAUUUAGGUGGAGAACUGUCUGACACUGUUACACUAAAAAGCUGGUUAUUUAGGUGGGGAACUGUCUGACACUGUGUAACACUAUAAAGCUGGUUAUUUAGGUGGGGAACUGUCUGACACUGUGUAACACUAUAAAGCUGGUUAUUUAGGUGGAGAACUGUCUGACACUGUUACACUAUAAAGCUGGUUAUUUAGGUGGAGAACUGUCUUACACUGUGUUACACUAAAAAGCUGCUUAUUUAGGUGGAGAACUGUCUGACAGUUACAUCUAGUUAUUUUGGCGGGGAACUGGCGGAUGCUGUUUUUCGAUCUCUCUGUAGGACCAGUUAUUUAGGUAAAGGAUUUUUAAACACUGUGUGGUGCAGUAUGGGGUUGAUUACUGUCAGACACUGUUACUCUUUAGAGCUAAUGUUACUAGAGUGGAGAACUGUGAGACACUGUUACUCUAUAGAACUAAUGUCACUAGAGUGGAGAACUGUCAGACACUGUUACUCUAUAGGGCUUGUUACUUAGGUCAGGAGAACUGUCAGACACUGUUACUCUAUUGGACUUGUUACUUGAGUGGAGAACUGUCAGACACUGUUACUCUAUAGGACUUGUUACUUGAGUGGAGAACUGUCAGCCACUGUUACUCUAUAGGACUUGUUACUUGAGUGGAGAACUGUCAGACACUGUUACCCUCUAGAGCUGUAUAUUUGGUGGAAACUAAUUUUUGCCUUUCUUUGGCAAUCAUACAUACAAGAAACUGUUAAUCUUGCAUACAUUUGUAUUUAAUGACCAUAUUCAAUAAAAUCUGCAAAUUAUUUUAUUCACAUCAAAAUAGACAAUAUCUAGGUCUAUAGAUAUGAUUUAUUCUGCAUCAAAGCAAGAUCUUUUGAUUCCAGAAACUUAUCAUAAAUAUUUGCCAUGGAAACAUUUAACAUUCCAAUGAAUAAGCUGUAGAUAGGUCCAUGUACCUGUUAGGUUUUUUUUUUUAACGUUUAUCUUGCCUGAUCUCUGGGUUUUAUAACUUUGACACUGAUGUAGUAUCAGUAACUCUAUAUCUAUAUACACAUCUAUCAUGACCAAAAUCUAUAACAGGGGUGCAUUAAAAUAUAUGGAAAGGUAAAAUCAUAAUGAUAACCACAACACAUGAUAUCUUGUACUGAAUAUUAAUUGGAUAAAAACAUGGCAUUUCAUAUUGGAUUAAAUUCCUGUGUUGCCUAUUUUAAAUUUAUAUUGGGAUUAGGAGAUUUAACAGCACAGAGCUAUAAAACACAGUACUUUACUAUCAAAUAAAGCAAACCUCAACUCCAUGUUUCAUAAAGAAGGGUCAGCACUCUUUUGAAAUGAUCACAGUGUGUAAAUAGAUAAUGUGUCUGGCUGGUAACAUGGUCCUUUGACAAUGAUGGUAAGUGGUUUUAUGUAGAUAGGCCCUGGAGAAGAUCAAUCAUUUUCUAGUAAUACUCAGACUAAACAUUUUAAACCCCUAAUGUUUGUCCAUGGUUUUCAUGCAGAAAAAUUGUAAAUGCUUUGUCAGUUAUCCCAUCUUUACCACAUUACCUCCACCACAAGUUCCCAGAUCAGCUGCCCAGUGGCAUGAUAGCGUGAAACUGUAUAUACCUAAGUAAAUUUAAACAAAUUAGAGGGUCAGGAAAAAUCCUUGGUUGUGGAGUAGGUGGUAGAGAGACAAUGAUUUUGUUUAUUAAGGAUUGAGACACCACAGAGCAAUAAAUCAAUCAUAAUUAAUAAACAGGUGCCCCCUCUGAGGUUAAUGUGACAACCAGAACUCAUGACAGGCCUAUCAAAUGAGCAAUUUAUAGUAAAUGUAUGCAGCUUAUUAUUCACUACAAUAAUUUAAUUAAAAUUUUACCAUAAGAACCUGAUAGAAUUUUUGCUUGCCAGGUGGAUACACAGACUUUUAUAAAAAUGUGUUCCAUGCAAGAACAUUAUAAAACAGGAAAACCAACAGAUUCCGCUGACAGAACUUCAGUUUUCUUAGUCAGUUUUCUGUUAAUUCGCCCCCCCCCCCCCCACCACCCCCUCCUCACUUACCAGUAAACUGACAGUACCCAGCCAACAUCUCUGAGGGUCGGGGGUUCCACCACAUAGUAUCUCACACAAUCUGUAAUGUCACUGUGUCCUCAAAUAAACUUAACACUUCAACAGUACUCCUGUAACACCAGAAAUAACCUGGUCCGUUAUGUCAUAACCACACUGUUCAGGCCCUCGCUAUGUUUAACUGUCUGUCAUUCAUGAUCUUGUCACUAUUUAACUGUGAAAUCGGAAGUCUCCACUACUGUUUAUCAACAGUUGGUGUGUGAUUCUGCCAAGAGGUUCAAGAAACGACAAAAUCAACACCACCUGUAUGUGUAAAACAAGGAACAUGAAUUUUAACAACUGUUACAGGGGGAACACAUGUUUAACUCAUAAUCUUGUACCUUCCAUCAUAUUCCACUUUAUGCUGAAAGGAAAAUCAAUGCAAAGUAUCACAGAAUCCCAUCUCGAUCUUUCUUCCCACAAUGACAAAUCCAUGUCACUCCAUAAUGUUUAAUGCACUUGGACAACAAUGAUGCCUGCUUGUUUCCACCUUGUAAUCACAGUUCUAUAAAUCCCUCACUUCUCACAUUCUUAUCAUCCUCGUCUUCCUCCACUACUGAAUAUCAUUGCAAAAAUCAAUUUUAUAAUUGAGCACACACUACCCUCAAAACAUGGUGAUUUACACCAGUAUCUGAUUUCUCUAGAGAGAUAAGUCAGAAACCAUAAUGUUCCCCGGCUCCUCUCCGAGUGACAGGUGAGCGACUGAACUUAACAAGGAUCCAAAAAGGCACAAUUUGUCAAUGUAAGAGAACUCCAGAAUACAUUAUUACACUUUGUCACAACCUGCUGUUUAAAGCGACUUCCUAGCCACAGUGUGGACUUACUAAAGCCACGCUAAGAAGAUUACCAGCAAGCGAUCACUAAACAAGAAGUAUAAGAAUUCAUAAAGUUAAAUCGAUAAUAUGUCUUAGGUUGCUGUCGUUAGUCUGUUUAAGUGCUUUUGACAAGGUUGACUUAUGCCACUAUUUAUUAUUUAUUUUAAGCCCCAUUAGAUUCUAAGCCAAUCAAUAUUUUCAUUAUUACAAUUUCCACCAAAAGGAUGUCUUUUUUAUUGUCUAACAGCAUUGAUUUACAGCCUCUGUAAAUGAAAGAAAUAACUCCAGAUUUUGCGAAGUAAUGUUUUAUUUCAUCGAUCAGCUUUCGUGUUGUUUAAGGUGAGAAGUAGUUUAUUCGACAGAUUUCAUGGCAUGCCAAGCACAAUCUCUCACACAGGUAAACUGCUAUUGCAAAAGGUUCCCUCAUCUAAAUACCAUCUUGUUGAGAUGUCUGUACAACCACACAAUAGCGUUAACCUUUGAUCUGUCAAACGGUUAGAGGUCACUGACAAAAUAUUCCUGGCAACACGUGCCAGUCAUUACGUAACUGUGCACACCAAAUGUCAACAAAUGAGGCAGCUAAGGUAAUCCUUGCCAUUACUUCAGACAUCUAUUUUGUUCUUUUUUUUAUAACAGAGAGAUCAAUGCUGAGCUUUUAAUGGCUGCAGUCUGUAAACAUUUGAUAGCUAUACAUUGUGUGUCAGGUAAAGAGGCUGUGUAAUAUAUAUCCCGAUCCCCCUAUAGCAGUGAUCCUGAAGUUGCAGCGAUAUAUAACAACAUCCACAAUCUCUUUAUCAUCACAACACAAAACCUGAUAUGUAACAAAACAGCAGGUGUUAAAUACACACACAAGCCUUUCAAUAGCAGACUGCGGCAGCUUCACUGGUAACUAGCUGCAGCGCUGCACAAUUUAUCUCCUCAUUUCAUGCCCCCCAUCCCAACAGUUUCUGAUACAGACUCAUGUCAAACCUGUAAGCCAGAUGGAGGUGGGUCAAAGGUCAUGUCCUCAGCCACAGAGGAUCAAUGGCAGUAAAAUAUGGUCCGUUGCCAGCCUUUCAUUCUUUCUGAGCCUGACUACUGGGGGUCAGUUCAUCCGACCUCACACUGGCCUGAGUGCUGUAGACAUGCCAGUCUAUCCAAUAAAUCUACUGGUCAAUAAAAUGUCGGAAGCAAUAGCAGGGUCGGCCAAUUAACACCUUAUCCUCUACAAAACACCAGCUAACACAAUUUCUGCAAAUAUAAACUGCUGUUUCAAAGCAAGCUCCAUGUUUUGUUAAUGCUUCACUCCCAGGUCUACCUAACAUCACUCAUCCAGACGAUUCUGAAGAUUGUGAAGCAAGGUUUCUCUACUUGUUCCUCUGGCUGACGACAGAAAAGAUCAGAACUUUUACACCUGAUGAAGAACACCUGUCUUAGUCAAUCAACCAAGAUGAAGCAAGCUCUUUCAGAGUGUCAGGUCACUUCAGGUUAAGCCAUAGACUUAAUUAACACAGUCCAUUAACAGGAUGAAUAUUGUGCACAAAUUAACAAAAAUGAACACCCGUGUUAAUAUGUGUAGAAAUGGGAUUUUUCCAGAAAUCAUAAAAAUUUUCUGUGGACCAGCCCAGGUCAAUUCAUAAUUUACUUUAGAAAUGUGCUUCAUUUCUUUAAUUAAAGAUGUGAGCUUGAACAUUGCUCAAUGAUGUUAUAACAGUAAGAGCAAACGAACAAGUACAAACAUAUUCUGAGAGCCCUUUGCUGAUUGAGCACUAUUGCUCCACAAGUAAUAUAAUUAAUCAUUUAUCACUUCUAACACUUAUGGCUUGCUAAAUUACUCCAUACUUGACAUUACAUAUUUGCACUAUACUGAUAUAUGAAAUAUUCAGAGAAUUUUUCGCAAUCAAUCAAAAUAAUACAAUCAUUUUAAGAAUCAUUUUAUAGAUUUUUCAAAACGUUGCCAUUUGAAGAGUAACCUGACACAGCAUGACCUACUGACCCCAGAGCAAGAUAUGAUUAGUUGUGUGUAUGAAUGUAUCCUUAGCUUUUUUUUCUAUAAUGACCCAUCCUUAACAGAUAAUUUUGUAGGAUUAGUACCAAAAACAGAAUCUUUCCCCAGUAACUAAUGGCAUGUUUGUGCUACUCCUGGGACAACAUCAGCCAAAUAAAAUCUCUAACAAACGAAAACAUCCCCACAAUUACAUGAUUUCACGCGACGUAACCAAGACCAAAUUAAUGAGGCUUCAUUCUAGAAGGAAGAGCUGUUGAGAAAGCUAAUUUGCUGACAGAACAGUGGGUUAAUCGAGGUAAAACACCGAGGCCGAGGAGAACAUAUCGAUUCCCAAGUAGUGAUAUGAUAGCAACGCCUCUUCCGCAUCCUCUACCACCCCCACCCCCCAACAACUCCCAUAAAAACACAAAGAAUCCUUUAAACAGUGCAAAACUAAUGAAUUCAAUUUUGUUCUUUAAGCCUUCAUUCAACACCUUCAUUUGUAAUUAUGGUCGACAUUUUAUCGCAGUCAAACAUGACACCAACAGAUAGUUUAUAACCGCUAACACAUAUCUAAUUAAACAUAUUACCUUAAUUUGAUAAAUGACUAUGUUGCAUAAGAGUGAACUAUAAAAUGUCAUUGUAGAAAAUACCCCAAUACAUGGACAAAAUGAGUGUAUGUUCCAUGAUAUACGUUGUGGUGUGUGUUGUUGUAAUGGAAAGCCAUAGAUGUAUAUACUCACCAUGGAUAGAGUAGAAGUUGGGGGGGAUCCCGCCCUGUGCUGCCAUCUGUGACAUCAGAUAGGCCUCCAUGCGGUCUAUCAAACUAGGGUAUAGUCCAUUCAUGUGGUUCAUUGUUUGAAAAUUGCUCACAUUUCCCACUUACUGGAUAUCAGAUGAUUGGUUUCAUUCGCGAACCAAGUGUCACACAUUUUUCAUUCGGAAUGGUCUAUGUAAGAGUUAAUCACACAGUAUGUGGUUUAUGGAGAAAUUAGGAGGCUAUUAAUUCGCCAUGACAAUUAUGGUUCUAAUCUUCUAUGUACUUGUGCUGUAAUAAUAUAAAACUUUUUACAUAUCUAGCAUAAUGAGUUCAAGUGGUAAAAAGCUUCAACAUUAGGACAUCUUGAAAUGACUCACAUCUCCUCUACCACUCUCACUGACAGAACAAGGAAGAUACCAUCUAUUAAACAGUGCAAAGUGUCACUAUAUAGGGAACAUUUCAUUUCACCACAAGUUCCAACAAUUCCUAUACAAGACCCUUGACCUACUUUUCAAACUCCUGGUCAUGAGCAGUUUUGCCAUUGUGCACGAGGACAAACCCCACAUGCAAAACUAGCAUAAACAAAAAGCCCCCACUUUGCAGGGGGAACAGUUUGGAACCAUCACUAACUCUUGAGAGCUAUCAUGUAUGAAUUUUACCCUCUAUGAUUCACGUCAUCUAUCAGACUAUAACACCACAUAUCAUUGGAAACAGAUUAGGGAAAUACCACAACACUUUCCAAAAAUAGUACAUGAAACUAAGAAAAGAUAUUAUUAAGAGACGGCCCUCAAUGGCCAAGUACAGACUCAAUUCAAUGUUUGUAAACAAUGCAACUUCACAACAAUUCAUCCAAAAAACAAAAACAGUUGACACCUAACUGCUACCUACUCCUCUCUAAAAUCAUCUAAAAAGAGUUAGAACCUUAUCACAGAAUCUGCAUUAUCACACACAUUGACAGAGAGAGACAAUCAGCACCUCGGCACACAGUAAACAUUGGUACUUACUUUUCCCAGGUAGAUAUAACCACAGAUACAAAUUGUACAGCUUUGAUCCCUGUGUUAGAAUACAAAGAACUACAGCAACAAACAACAAGAUGGAGAUUGUGCACCACAGAGGUGUUGGAAAGCAUCAUUCAUGUCCGUCUCCAAAGAUCUCUACAGGAGCCAGCUCACUGCCAUCUCAUCUAAGUCCAGUAAUGCUAUGACAAAUCACAAAAGAUUUCACCAGCCGGAUCAAACGGUGGCUCUUCCUAUAAUUGGGCGUAAAUUACUUCAAAUCCAAUAAAUGAAUUCCAAACAGAAGCUAAACGCGCUGGAGACUCUUCGGAUCAAUAACAAAGUUAUAUACUUUUCUCAUCCUCUACGGUUUAACAUCACAUGAUAAGGUCGGAAUACAUUAAUCUUUAUCCACAGUAAUUGACUUGUAUAGUCAAUAAUGUUUCACAAUAGCAUCCAGUCUCUGUUUCUACUGCCUCUAUACAUGAGGGCAUGGAUAUACACACAAGCUAAUGUCAAGAGCUAACGGCUCUCCAUGCCAACUUCUUUCCUGCACGACUAUGUGAUAUUUGCCGGUUACACCAUUGAUUGGAAUCUUAAAACAAUUAUUGUCAUUUUUCAAAGUGUUGAUGCAUUAAUGAGAACUCUAUGCAUCAGCACCGAAUCAAUAAUUUAUCCUUGAGCAUCAUAAGAUUAUUUUUCUGGAUGAUUGUAGUGUUAUCAUUAUUACAAUGUGUUUAUAAAUCACUACAGGAUAGGGGGUGUUGUACAGUUGUAUCUGGGGAGGUCAAUAUCUCCCACUAUUACCCACAUCAAGGACAGACAAGGAGAAACUUGUAAACACAUGUCCAUUUAUCAUUUCAAGUCAAUUACUUCUGAGCUCCUCUGAUCAUUUAAUGAUUUUGUAACUGAAUCACUAAUGAGAAAAAAAAUUAAGUAUGCAUGGACAUUUAUUUCAUAGCAAAAUUUUUCUUUAAAAAAAUCACAUGACAAUUUGUCUUGGACUUUUCCAUUUAAGCAGAAUUAGCAUCCCCAACUUCUUAAUAACUAUGCAUUUGCCUUUGCUCCCUUUAGCGAUUGCCUCAUUUGUCUCCCUUCACAUCUCUCAACAUGAUAAAGAACACCAUUGGCUCAGUCUUCAACAGUAUCAGAUGGCAGCUAACUGUCAACAGGAACAUGCUCCAAUAUACCAGCAUGAUGUAUAUUCUCUAGCAAGCCCUAUCAAUGGCAAAAACAGCUAAGUCUGAUCUUAGAAGGAUAAUACAAGUUUUUUAUCCUGGCUAAUCUAACUCAUUAAAUUCUAGACAAUAAAUACCCCACUUCAACCUUGUCUUAACUAUCAUUUUUAUGGGCCAUAUAUCUGUUGUAGUGGGGCUUUACGGUACCAUCAAGUCAUUCUUUAGGUGUAUAACAAACUCCUUCUGUGGGCCUUCCCGUACUACACACUACAACUAAAUAUAAAGACUGUACAAAAACUCUUCCACAAAGAUGAAACACUGUCCUGUAUUUUCUGGCUGGAUUACAGAAUAUUUCUCUAACCAUUAUCAAUAUGCCUCUCAAGUAGUAUUUCCCUAAGUGAGUCAUUUUACAUGAAAUAAAUUGAUCAGUGGUGCUCUACUGAACUUUAUUUGUUGCGUUGUUUAUCUCUUACACCCCACUGCAGUACUCCAAAAUCUCCUAGAAAUCCAAUAAAAGGCCUCGAGGUAACUUACAUAUCACCUCAUACAACCAUACACGAUACCCUCUACAAAUCCACUCAGAUUAAACUUGUAAAGAUAAUUUUUUUUUUACAUAUAUGAAGAUAAAAGCAGGUAAUAAUCUUUUUCCUUAAAAACCCAAGAUCCUGAUAAUCAGAGUCCAAUUUAUCUACACAUUGUUGAUAAAUGUAUACCCUUCCAUCUUUCCAUCAUCCACAUAGCAAUUAAAUGCCCAAUCACAUCUGUCACCUCUGUAACUAAAGGCUUCCUUACACAAAUACUGUCUUCCUUCACAACAUUCUUCUCAUCUCAGGCAUUUAACAAUUCAUUACCCAUACAACCCUCUAACCACGGGAAUCAGAUAUCACCUUGCUGACAGCUGAUAUCUGAUAUCUGGUAGCUCACAUAUCUCUCAUGACUUAACCUUGGACCUCAUACAAACAAUAGCAAUCACUUACUGUGAUGUAUAGUAACCAUUAUUACCCACAAUUCCACUUAAAUCCUCACAAUUGAUCAUCCAUCAUACACUUCAAGAAAAUGGGGUUUACAUCCAGAAUCCUGUGUCUAAAAUCCACAAGUGAAUUCCACACCGUCUCUGCCCGUAGUUCGGCUUCAAAUUUUGU